UACGUAGGGUGCAAGCGUUGUCCGGAAUUAUUGGGCGUAAAGAGCUCGUAGGCGGUUUGUCGCGUCUGCUGUGAAAACUCGGGGCUUAACCCCGGGCCUGCAGUGGGUACGGGCAGACUAGAGUGCGGUAGGGGAGACUGGAAUUCCUGGUGUAGCGGUGAAAUGCGCAGAUAUCAGGAGGAACACCGUAGCGGAAGGCGGCUCGUGGGACGGUACUGACGCUGAGGCGCGAAAGCGUGGGGAGCGAACAGG
rnacentral:rRNA from 1 species